rnacentral:rRNA from 1 species
UACAGAGGUCUCAAGCGAUUGUUCGGGAUUCAUUGGGCGUAAAGGGUGCGUAGGCGGCGCGGUAAGUCGGGUGUGAAAUCUCGGAGCUUAACUCCGAAACUGCAUUCGAUACUGCCGUGCUUGAGGACUGGAGAGGAGACUGGAAUUUACGGUGUAGCGGUGAAAUGCGUAGAGAUCGGAAAGAACACCAACGGCGAAAGCACUCUGCUGGGCCGACACUGACACUGGAGAGACGAAAGCUAGGGGAGCGAAUGGG